AUACGUAGGGUGCAAGCGUUGUCCGGAAUCACUGGGCGUAAAGAGUUUGUAGGCGGCCUUAUAAGUCAGAUGUGAAAGGCAUUGGCUCAACCAAUGUAAGCAUUUGAAACUGUAGGGCUUGAGUGUUGGAGAGGAGAGUGGAAUUCCUAGUGUAGCGGUGAAAUGCGUAGAUAUUAGGAGGAACACCAGUGGCGAAGGCGACUCUCUGGACAAUUACUGACGCUGAGAAACGAAAGCGUGGGGAGCGAACAGGAUUAGAUACCCUGGUAGUCCACGCCGUAAACGAUGAGUACUAGGUGUUGGGGUCGACAGGCUUCAGUGCCGCAGCUAACGCAUUAAGUACUCCGCCUGGGGAGUACGGUCGCAAGACUGAA
rnacentral:rRNA from 1 species